AUAAUACCUCAAGAAGUUUUAGCUAGCUCCUUAUUAUUUUGUAGGAAUAAUUGUAAGGACUUUCAUGACUUUAGUUAUUUAAGAAAUAAUAUUAGAGUGUUUUAGUAUGUGUUUUAUUAUAGAGGCAUGAAUCUUUUAAAUAAUAAUGGGAUCCUUGACUAUGGUAUGAAUCCCUCUUAUUUUAAUACUUUGUAUAUGGAAACAUACUAUAAACUAAAGGGGUAAAAUACAUUUAGAAUUUGCAUC
rnacentral:lncRNA from 7 species